GUAGCAGGACGCUUGUGUCGCUUGCCGAUGGAGGUUGAUCUCCGGAGCGGCAAGAGGAAAGUCCGGGCAACACAGAGCACCAUACUUUCUAACAGUGAGCUGUCGGUGACGGCAGAGUAACGUGACAGAAAAUAACAGCCCGCUCCCUUUUCAAAGAGAGUCAGGCAAUGGUGAAAAGGUGGGGUAAGAGCCCACCGGGUGUCGUGGCGACACGGCAUGCCGCACGUCUUAUGGGUUGCAAGGCCAUGUAUACCGGCACGUUGACCGGCUGUGUAAUAAUAGCGUCAACAAUGGGUUGCUCGUCCAUCGCCGGGGGGUAGGCUGCUGGAGUGCCGAAGCAGAGCGAGGCACCGAUUAGAUAAAUGACACGGGCACUGCGGCAACCUUCAGGGCUUGCCCCUGAGAGAAGUCCCGCAGUGACAUAACCCGGCUUAUAGUCCUGCUACCUUU
rnacentral:RNase_P_RNA from 1 species